UUUGUAGGUGGCUUGCUAAGUCAGACGUGAAAUCCCUCAGCUUAACUGGGGAACUGCGUCUGAGACUGGCAAGCUUGAGUGCAGGAGAGGAACGCGGAAUUCCAGGUGUAGCGGUGAAAUGCGUAGAUAUCUGGAGGAACACCGGUGGCGAAGGCGGCGUUCUGGACUGUAACUGACACUGAGGAACGAAAGCCAGGGAAGGCAAACG
rnacentral:rRNA from 1 species